AUGAAUAUUGUUUUUGAAU
rnacentral:snRNA from 1 species